UACGUAGGGGGCUAGCGUUGUCCGGAAUCAUUGGGCGUAAAGCGCGUGUAGGCGGCCCGGUAAGUCCGCUGUGAAAGUCGGGGGCUCAACCCUCGAAUGCCGGUGGAUACUGUCGGGCUAGAGUCCGGGGAGGGGCGAGUGGAAUUCCUGGUGUAGCGGUGAAAUGCGCAGAUAUCAGGAGGAACACCAAUGGCGAAGGCAGCUCGCUGGAACGGUACUGACGCUGAGGCGCGAAAGCGUGGGGAGCGAACAGG
rnacentral:rRNA from 1 species